rnacentral:rRNA from 1 species
UAAGCCUGUGAAGGUGUGUCGUGAGGCAUGCUGGAGGUAUCAGAAGUGCGAAUGCUGACAUAAGUAACGAUAAAGCGGGUGAAAAGCCCGCUCGCCGGAAGACCAAGGGUUCCUGUCCAACGUUAAUCGGGGCAGGGUGAGUCGACCCCUAAGGCGAGGCCGAAAGGCGUAGUCGAUGGGAAACGGGUUAAUAUUCCCGUACUUGGUGUUACUGCGAAGGGGGGACGGAGAAGGCUAUGUUGGCCGGGCGACGGUUGUCCCGGUUUAAGCGUGUAGGUGUGUGUUCCAGGUAAAUCCGGUUCACUUUAACACUGAGGCGUGACGACGAGGCACUACGGUGCUGAAGCAACAAAUGCCCUGCUUCCAGGAAAAGCCUCUAAGCAUCAGGUAACAUCAAAUCGUACCCCAAACCGACACAGGUGGUCAGGUAGAGAAUACCAAGGCGCUUGAGAGAACUCGGGUGAAGGAACUAGGCAAAAUGGUGCCGUAACUUCGGGAGAAGGCACGCUGACACGUAGGUGAAGUGAUUUACUCAUGGAGCUGAAGUCAGUCGAAGAUACCAGCUGGCUGCAACUGUUUAUUAAAAACACAGCACUGUGCAAACACGAAAGUGGACGUAUACGGUGUGACGCCUGCCCGGUGCCGGAAGGUUAAUUGAUGGGGUCAGCGCAAGCGAAGCUCCUGAUCGAAGCCCCGGUAAACGGCGGCCGUAACUAUAACGGUCCUAAGGUAGCGAAAUUCCUUGUCGGGUAAGUUCCGACCUGCACGAAUGGCGUAAUGAUGGCCAGGCUGUCUCCACCCGAGACUCAGUGAAAUUGAACUCGCUGUGAAGAUGCAGUGUACCCGCGGCAAGACGGAAAGACCCCGUGAACCUUUACUAUAGCUUGACACUGAACAUUGAGCCUUGAUGUGUAGGAUAGGUGGGAGGCUUUGAAGCGUGGACGCCAGUCUGCGUGGAGCCGACCUUGAAAUACCACCCUUUAAUGUUUGAUGUUCUAACGUGGACCCGUGAUCCGGGUUGCGGACAGUGUCUGGUGGGUAGUUUGACUGGGGCGGUCUCCUCCUAAAGAGUAACGGAGGAGCACGAAGGUUGGCUAAUCCUGGUCGGACAUCAGGAGGUUAGUGCAAUGGCAUAAGCCAGCUUGACUGCGAGCGUGACGGCGCGAGCAGGUGCGAAAGCAGGUCAUAGUGAUCCGGUGGUUCUGAAUGGAAGGGCCAUCGCUCAACGGAUAAAAGGUACUCCGGGGAUAACAGGCUGAUACCGCCCAAGAGUUCAUAUCGACGGCGGUGUUUGGCACCUCGAUGUCGGCUCAUCACAUCCUGGGGCUGAAGUAGGUCCCAAGGGUAUGGCUGUUCGCCAUUUAAAGUGGUACGCGAGCUGGGUUUAGAACGUCGUGAGACAGUUCGGUCCCUAUCUGCCGUGGGCGCUGGAGAACUGAGGGGGGCUGCUCCUAGUACGAGAGGACCGGAGUGGACGCAUCACUGGUGUUCGGGUUGUCAUGCCAAUGGCACUGCCCGGUAGCUAAAUGCGGAAGAGAUAAGUGCUGAAAGCAUCUAAGCACGAAACUUGCCCCGAGAUGAGUUCUCCCUGAGACUUAAAGUCUCCUGAAGGAACGUUGAAGACGACGACGUUGAUAGGCCGGGUGUGUAAGCGCAGCGAUGCGUUGAGCUAACCGGUACUAAUGAACCGUGAGGCUUAACCUUACA